AUCACACACACACACACACACACACACACACACACACACACACACAAAAGUAUAACCCAUAUAGCCAAAGAUAGGAAGUAAAGAGAAUGAUAUGUUCUGCAAUUACGCAAAACAAGUCUAGCCUACUAGAGGGUAGGUGACCAUGAAGAGGGAACAACCCAGCAGAAACCAUACACCAACAGCCAGACAGAUGAGUGAGGCUUUCCUGGACCAGCAAACAGCCAAAUUAUCAAUUGACUUGAAAUGCAUGAGUUAGCACAGCUGAUACCAUAAGGAAAAGAAGAAUUAUCCAGUUGAGCCCAACCCAAAUUGCCAACACAUAGGAUUGUGAAAAAAACAAACAAACAAAAAAACCCCAAAUGGUUAUAAUAUUAAACCACAAGUUUUGGGGAGGUUCUUGCACAGCAAUAGAUAUCUGAUACAAAUAGUUAUGUAGCAUAUUGAUUUCAAAGCCAGUUUCUAGAGGGUCUUCUGUUGCCAAUCACGAUGGAGUAACAGGGAUCAGAUUUAUUCUCUCCCCUUAACUAUGUACAAAGCCUGACAAAAUAUAUGAAACAAAGACUUUCAAACAUCAGACAACAGGUAACACAGGUCAGUGGUCCCUGAGAGGAGAGAAACAAACCAAGUAAGCCCCAUGAUUGUUUCAGCUUAGUUCCUAGAGAGACUUUUUGGGCUUCAGUCAGGCAUGCUAAGGAGAGACACGGAGGGUAUGAAAAAGAUCCAAAUUAAGCUCCUGAACAUGAAAAAUUAAUGUCUGAGUCAAAAAAUAUAUAUGAUGGGAUUAACAGAAACUUGGAGACUACAGAAGAAGAUUGCAGUCUCCAAUUGAAAGCACAGCAUUAGAAGGUAUACAGAAGAGAAAAAAAGUUUAGAAAAAUAAAUGAAACAUCGGGGACCUAUGGAGCAUAGCUGUGGUACACAGCUGCCCGAUUAUGGUUUCCUCCUUUCUCACUCUCUUGGAUCCAUCCCUUGAGUAGGAGUCACCUGCCAUGUCAUGAGGACACACUUAAGCACUCCUACAGAGAGGUCUGCAUGGCAAGGGACUGAGACAUUCUUACAGCAACCAGCACUGACUGAUCAAGUAUGUGAGGGGAGCCAUCUUGAAAGCAGAUUAUUCAUCCCCAGUCCAGCCUUCAGAUGACUCCAGCUUCCUGUGGUUCCGGGCACAGCGCGCCUCAGUCUGCAUUGGGCUGACACCAGAGAGCAUGUGGGGAUUUUCCUAGUUGCCGAAGAAGAUAUUAUUUGACGUUGCUGUAGUUUUGUGCUUACUUCUCUUGGAAUCUGUAUAACGUGAACCAUGCAAGCAAACCAAGGAUUGACUGUAGAAUCUGCGGCUUAUUUUUAUACCUUGCAGCUUUUAAAACCCAAGCGUCUGCAUUUUCCCCAUAAGUGAAAUUACUCACCAACUCAAACAGGUCUUUUUUUUUUUUUUUUGUCCACUAUAGCAAAACAUUUGGUGGAGGGUUGGGGACUCCCAAAUUAUUGGGAUUACAGGCGUGAGCCACCGCACCUGGCCAAAAAUAGAUUUUCAAUGCAGAUAAAACAACCUUCUAUUGGAAAAAGUUGCCAUGUAGGAUAAUGCUAUUGCACUGCUAAUAGACUACAGUAUAGUGUAAACAUAACUUUUAUGUGCACCAGAAAAGCAAAAAAUUUGUAUGAUCCAUUUUGUUGAGAUAGUCACUUUAUUGCAGUGGUCUGGAACUGAACCUGCAAUAUCUCUGAGGUAUGCUUAUAUUAAAUAGGUAAUUGAAAAACAAAAACAAAACGGAUAAAGGACAAAAUAACCAUCUGUAAUGCAAUGACUAGCUGGACAAACCACUGGUGUCUUAAUUUCCUCUA
rnacentral:lncRNA from 1 species